rnacentral:rRNA from 1 species
ACGGAGGGUGCAAGCGUUAAUCGGAAUUACUGGGCGUAAAGCGCGCGUAGGCGGCUUGAUCAGUCGGGUGUGAAAGCCCCGGGCUCAACCUGGGAAUUGCAUUCGAUACUGUCAGGCUAGAGUGUGGUAGAGGGAAGCGGAAUUCCAGGUGUAGCGGUGAAAUGCGUAGAUAUCUGGAGGAACAUCAGUGGCGAAGGCGGCUUCCUGGACUGACACUGACGCUGAGGUGCGAAAGCGUGGGGAGCAAACAGG